rnacentral:misc_RNA from 1 species
UCCGGUUUGGCACCGGCAGUCUCCCCAGAGUUCCCGGCUUUACCCGCUGGCAACUGAGGACAAGGGUUGCGCUCGUUGCGCCACUUAAGGCAACACCUCACGGCACGAGCUGACGACAGCCAUGCACCACCUGUGCAGGCUCCGUAGAGCUCCGGCUUUCACCGGCUUCACCCUGCAUGUCAAGCCCAGGUAAGGUUCUUCGCGUCGCAUCGAAUUAAACCACAUGCUCCACCGCUUGUGUGGAUCCCCGUCAAUUCCUUUGAGUUUUAGCCUUGCGGCCGUACUUCCCAGGCGGGUCACUUAACGCGUUAGCUUAGGCACAAGGGGCUUCAAUCCCCCCCACAGCAAGUAUCCAUCGUUUAGGGCUAGGACUAC